rnacentral:rRNA from 1 species
AUUGAACGCUGGCGGCAGGCCUAACACAUGCAAGUCGAACGGUAACAGGAAGCAGCUUGCUGCUUCGCUGACGAGUGGCGGACGGGUGAGUAAUGUCUGGGAAACUGCCUGAUGGAGGGGGAUAACUACUGGAAACGGUAGCUAAUACCGCAUAACGUCGCAAGACCAAAGAGGGGGACCUUAGGGCCUCUUGCCAUCGGAUGUGCCCAGAUGGGAUUAGCUAGUAGGUGGGGUAACGGCUCACCUAGGCGACGAUCCCUAGCUGGUCUGAGAGGAUGACCAGCCACACUGGAACUGAGACACGGUCCAGACUCCUACGGGAGGCAGCAGUGGGGAAUAUUGCACAAUGGGCGCAAGCCUGAUGCAGCCAUGCCGCGUGUAUGAAGAAGGCCUUCGGGUUGUAAAGUACUUUCAGCGGGGAGGAAGGGAGUAAAGUUAAUACCUUUGCUCAUUGACGUUACCCGCAGAAGAAACACCGGCUAACUCCGU